rnacentral:lncRNA from 1 species
GCCCGCCAAGUCAGGGGCCAUUCCGAGUCCCGCGGACGAAGUUCGCCCACGCCCCACACCAAGGCCAUAGCCCACCCGUUUUUUGGCCAUUUUUCCGCUGGGGGGUCUUGGGACCCCGACCUUCGGGGGCUGAUUUUUGGGCGCGGCUGUGCCCGUGGCCUAUUUUUGGCACACAGAGGCCGCCCGCCAAGUAUGGUGCCAUUCCGAGUCCCGCGGACGAACUUCGCCCACGCCGCCCACCAAGGCUAUAGCCCACCCGUUUUUUGGCCAUUUUUCCGCUGGGGGGUCUUGGGACCUCGACCUUCGGGGGCUGAUUUUUGGGCGCGGCUGUGCCCGUGUCCUAUUUUUGGCACACGGAGGCCGCCCGCCAAGUCAGGGGCCAUUCCGAGUCCCGCGGACGAAGUUCGCCCACGCCCCCCACCAAGGCUAUAGCCCACCCGUUUUUUGGCCAUUUUUCCGCUGGGGGGUCUUGGGACCCCGACCUUCGGGGGCUGAUUUUUGGGCGCGGCUGUGCCCGUGGCCUAUUUUUGGCACACGGAGGCCGCCCGCCAAGUCAGGGGCCAUUCCGAGUCCCGCGGACGAACUUCGCCCACGCCCCCCACCAAGGCUAUAGCCCACCCGUUUUUUGGCCAUUUUUCCGCUGGGGGGUCUUGGGACCCCGACCUUCGGGGGCUGAUUUUUGGGCGCGGCUGUGCCCGUGGCCUAUUUUUGGCACACAGAGGCCGCCCGCCAAGUAUGGUGCCAUUCCGAGUCCCGCGGACGAACUUCGCCCACGCCCCCCACCAAGGCUAUAGCCCACCCGUUUUUUGGCCAUUUUUCCGCUGGGGGGUCUUGGGACCCCGACCUUCGGGGGCUGAUUUUUGGGCGCGGCUGUGCCCGUGGCCUAUUUUUGGCACACGGAGGCCGCCCGCCAAGUCAGGGGCCAUUCCGAGUCCCGCGGACGAAGUUCGCCCACGCCCCCCACCAAGGCUAUAGCCCACCCGUUUUUUGGCCAUUUUUCCGCUGGGGGGUCUUGGGACCCCGACCUUCGGGGUCUGAUUUUUGGGCGCGGCUGUGCCCGUGGCCUAUUUUUGGCACACAGAGGCCGCCCGCCAAGUAUGGUGCCAUUCCGAGUCCCGCGGACGAACUUCGCCCACGCCCCCCACCAAGGCUAUAGCCCACCCGUUUUUUGGCCAUUUUUCCGCUGGGGGGUCUUGGGACCCCGACCUUCGGGGGCUGAUUUUUGGGCGCGGCUGUGCCCGUGGUCUAUUUUUGGCACACGGAGGCCGCCCGCCAAGUCAGGGGCCAUUCCGAGUCCCGCGGACGAACUUCGCCCACGCCGCCCACCAAGGCUAUAGCCCACCCGUUUUUUGGCCAUUUUUCCGCUGGGGGGUCUUGGGACCCCGACCUUCGGGGGCUGAUUUUUGUGCGCGGCUGUGCCCGUGGCCUAUUUUUGGCACACAGAGGCCGCCCGCCAAGUAUGGUGCCAUUCCGAGUCCCGCGGACGAACUUCGCCCACGCCCCCCACCAAGGCUAUAGCCCACCCGUUUUUUGGCCAUUUUUCCGCUGGGGGGUCUUGGGACCCCGACCUUCGGGGGCUGAUUUUUGGGCGCGGCUGUGCCCGUGGCCUAUUUUUGGCACACGGAGGCCGCCCGCCAAGUCAGGGGCCAUUCCGAGUCCCGCGGAUGAAGUUCGCCCACGCCCCCCACCAAGGCUAUAGCCCACCCGUUUUUUGGCCAUUUUUCCACUGGGGGGUCUUGGGACCCCGACCUUCGGGGGCUGAUUUUUGUACGCGGCUGUGCCCGUGGCCUAUUUUUGGCACACAGAGGCCGCCCGCCAAGUAUGGUGCCAUUCCGAGUCCCGCGGACGAACUUCGCCCACGCCCCCCACCAAGGCUAUAGCCCACCCGUUUUUUGGCCAUUUUUCCGCUGGGGGGUCUUGGGACCCCGACCUUCGGGGGCUGAUUUUUGGGCGCGGCUGUGCCCGUGGCCUAUUUUUGGCACACGGAGGCCGCCCGCCAAGUCAGGGGCCAUUCCGAGUCCCGCGGACGAAGUUCGCCCACGCCCCCCACGAAGGCUAUAGCCCACCCAUUUUUUGGCCAUUUUUCCACUGGGGGGUCUUGGGAGCCCGACCUUCGGGGGCUGAUUUUUGUGCGCGGCUGUGCCCGUGGCCUAUUUUUGGCACACAGAGGCCGCCCGCCAAGUAUGGUGCCAUUCCGAGUCCCGCGGACGAACUUCGCCCACGCCGCCCACCAAGGCUAUAGCCCACCCGUUUUUUGGCCAUUUUUCCGCUGGGGGGUCUUGGGACCCCGACCUUCGGGGGCUGAUUUUUGGGCGCGGCUGUGCCCGUGGCCUAUUUUUGGCACACGGAGGCCGCCCGCCAAGUCAGGGGCCAUUCCGAGUCCCGCGGACGAAGUUCGCCCACGCCCCCCACCAAGGCUAUAGCCCACCCGUUUUUUGGCCAUUUUUCCGCUGGGGGGUCUUGGGACCCCGACCUUCGGGGGCUGACUUUUGGGAGCGGCUGUGCCCGUGGCCUAUUUUUGGCACACAGAGGCCGCCCGCCAAGUAUGGUGCCAUUCCGAGUCCCGCGGACGAACUUCGCCCACGCCCCCCACCAAGGCUAUAGCCCACCCGUUUUUUGGCCAUUUUUCCGCUGCGGGGUCUUGGGACCCCGACCUUCGGGGGCUGAUUUUUGGGCGCGGCUGUGCCCGUGGCCUAUUUUUGGCACACAGAGGCCGCCCGCCAAGUAUGGUGCCAUUCCGAGUCCCGCAGACGAACUUCGCCUACGCCGCCCACCAAGGCUAUAGCCCACCCGUUUUUUGGCCAUUUUUCCGCUGGGGGGUCUUGGGACCCCGACCUUCGGGGGCUGAUUUUUGGGCGCGGCUGUGCCCGUGGCCUAUUUUUGGCACACGGAGGCCGCCCGCUAAGUCAGGGGCCAUUCCGAGUCCCGCGGACUAAGUUCGCCCACGCCCCCCACCAAGGCCAUUGCCCGACCGUUUUAUGGCCAUUUUUCCACUGGGGGGUCUUGCGACCCCGACCUUCGGGGGCUGAUUUUUGGGCGCGGCUGUGCCCGUGUCCUAUUUUUGGCACACAGAGGCCGCCCGCCAAGUAUGGUGCCAUUCCGAGUCCCGCGGACGAACUUCGCCCACGCCCCCCACCAAGGCUAUAGCCCACCCGUUUUUUGGCCAUUUUUCCGCUGGGGGGUCUUGGGACCCCGACCUUCGGGGGCUGACUUUUGGGCGCGGCUGUGCCCGUGGCCUAUUUUUGGCACACAGAGGCCGCCCGCCAAGUAUGGUGCCAUUCCGAGUCCCGCGGACGAACUUCGCCCACGCCCCCCACCAAGGCUAUAGCCCACCCGUUUUUUGGCCAUUUUUCCGCUGGGGGGUCUUGGGACCCCGACCUUCGGGGGCUGAUUUUUGGGCGCGCCUGUGCCCGUGGCCUAUUUUUGGCACACAGAGGCCGCCCGCCAAGUAUGGUGCCAUUCCGAGUCCCGCGGACGAACUUCGCCCACGCCCCCCACCAAGGCUAUAGCCCACCCGUUUUUUGGCCAUUUUUCCGCUGGGGGGUCUUGGGACCCCGACCUUCGGGGGCUGACUUUUGGGCGCGGCUGUGCCCGUGGCCUAUUUUUGGCACACAGAGGCCGCCCGCCAAGUAUGGUGCCAUUCCGAGUCCCGCGGACGAACUUCGCCCACGCCCCCCACCAAGGCUAUAGCCCACCCGUUUUUUGGCCAUUUUUCCGCUGGGGGGUCUUGGGACCCCGACCUUCGGGGGCUGAUUUUUGGGCGCGCCUGUGCCCGUGGCCUAUUUUUGGCACACAGAGGCCGCCCGCCAAGUAUGGUGCCAUUCCGAGUCCCGCGGACGAACUUCGCCCACGCCGCCCACCAAGGCUAUAGCCCACCCGUUUUUUGGCCAUUUUUCCGCUGGGGGGUCUUGGGACCCCGACCUUCGGGGGCUGAUUUUUGGGCGUGGCUGUGCCCGUGGCCUAUUUUUGGCACACGGAGGCCGCCCGCCAAGUCAGGGGCCAUUCUGAGUCCCGCGGACGAAGUUCGCCCACGCCCCACACCAAGGCCAUAGCCCACCCGUUUUUUGGCCAUUUUUCCGCUGGGGGGUCUUGGGACCCCGACCUUCGGGGGCUGACUUUUGGGAGCGGCUGUGCCCGUGGCCUAUUUUUGGCACACAGAGGCCGCCCGCCAAGUAUGGUGCCAUUCCGAGUCCCGCGGACGAACUUCGCCCACGCCCCCCACGAAGGCUAUAGCCCACCCGUUUUUUGGCAAUUUUUCCGCUGGGGGGUCUUGGGACCCCGACCUUCGGGGGCUGAUUUUUGGGCGCGGCUGUGCCCGUGGCCUAUUUUUGGCACACGGAGGCCGCCCGCCAAGUCAGGGGCCAUUCCGAGUCCCGCGGACGAAGUUCGCCCACGCCCUCCACCAAGGCUAUAGCCCACCCGUUUUUUGGCUAUUUUUCCACUGGGGGGUCUUGGGACCCCGACUUUCGGGUGCUGAUUUUUGGGCGCGGCUGUGCCCGUGGCCUAUUUUUGGCACACAGAGGCCGCCCGCCAAGUAUGGUGCCAUUCCGAGUCCCGCGGACGAACUUCGCCCACGCCCCCCACCAAGGCUAUAGCCCACCCGUUUUUUGGCCAUUUUUCCGCUGGGGGGUCUUGGGACCCCGACCUUCCGGGGCUGAUUUUUGAGCGCGGCUGUGCCCGUGGCCUAUUUUUGGCACACAGAGGCCGCCCGCCAAGUAUGGUGCCAUUCCGAGUCCCGCGGACGAACUUCGCCCACGCCGCCCACCAAGGCUAUUGCCCACCCGUUUUUUGGCCAUUUUUCCGCUGGGGGGUCUUGGGACCCCGACCUUCGGGGGCUGAUUUUUGGGCGCGGCUGUGCCCGUGGCCUAUUUUUGGCACACAGAGGCCGCCCGCCAAGUAUGGUGCCAUUCCGAGUCCCGCGGACGAACUUCGCCCACGCCGCCCACCAAGGCUAUAACCCACCCGUUUUUUGGCCAUUUUUCCGCUGGGGGGUCUUGGGACCCCGACCUUCGGGGGCUGAUUUUUGGGCGCGGCUGUGCCCGUGGCCUAUUUUUGGCACACAGAGGCCGCCCGCCAAGUAUGGUGCCAUUCCGAGUCCCGCGGACGAACUUCGCCCACGCCCCCCACCAAGGCUAUAGCCCACCCGUUUUUUGGCCAUUUUUCCGCUGGGGGGUCUUGGGACCCCGACCUUCGGGGGCUGAUUUUUGGGCGCGGCUGUGCCCGUGGCCUAUUUUUGGCACACAGAGGCCGCCCGCCAAGUAUGGUGCCAUUCCGAGUCCCGCGGACGAACUUCGCCCACGCCCCCCACCAAGGCUAUAGCCCACCCGUUUUUUGGCCAUUUUUCCGCUGGGGGGUCUUGGGACCCCGACCUUCGGGGGCUGAUUUUUGGGCGCGGCUGUGCCCGUGGCCUAUUUUUCGCACACAGAGGCCGCCCGCCAAGUAUGGUGCCAUUCCGAGUCCCGCGGACGAACUUCGCCCACACCCCCCACCAAGGCUAUAGCCCACCCGUUUUUUGGCCAUUUUUCCGCUGGGGGGUCUUGGGACCCCGACCUUCGGGGGAUGAUUUUUGGGCGCGGCUGUGCCCGUGGCCUAUUUUUGGCACACGGAGGCCGCCCGCCAAGUCAGGGGCCAUUCCGAGUCCCGCGGACGAACUUCGCCCACGCCGCCCACCAAGGCUAUAGCCCACCCGUUUUUUGGCCAUUUUUCCGCUGGGGGAUCUUGGGACCCCGACCUUCGGGGGCUGAUUUUUGGGCGCGGCUGUGCCCGUGGCCUAUUUUUGGCACACAGAGGCCGCCCGCCAAGUAUGGUGCCAUUCCGAGUCCCGCGGAUGAACUUCGCCCACGCCGCCCACCAAGGCUAUAGCCCACCCGUUUUUUGGCCAUUUUUCCGCUGGGGGGUCUUGGGACCCCGACCUUCGGGUGCUGAUUUUAGGGCGCGGCUGUGCCCGUGGCCUAUUUUUGGCACACAGAGGCCGCCCGCCAAGUAUGGUGCCAUUCCGAGUCCCGCGGACGAACUUCGCCCACGCCGCCCACCAAGGCUAUAGCCCACCCGUUUUUUGGCCAUUUUUCCGCUGGGGGGUCUUGGGACCCCGACCUUCGGGUGCUGAUUUUUGGGCGCGGCUGUGCCCGUGGCCUAUUUUUUGGCACACAGAGGGCCGCCCGCCAAGUCAGGGUGCCAUUCCGAGUCCCGCGGACGAAGUUCGCCCACGCCCCCCACCAAGGCUAUAGCCCACCCGUUUUUUGGCCAUUUUUCCGCUGGGGGGUCUUGGGACCCCGACCUUCGGGGGCUGAUUUUUGGGCGCGGCUGUGCCCGUGGCCUAUUUUUGGCACACGGAGGCCGCCCGCCAAGUCAGGGGCCAUUCCGAGUCCCGCGGACGAAGUUCGCCCACGCCCCCCACCAAGGCUAUAGCCCACCCGUUUUUUGGCCAUUUUUCCGCUGGGGGGUCUUGGGACCCCAACCUUCGGGGGCUGAUUUUUGAGCGCGGCUGUGCCCGUGGCCUAUUUUUGGCACACGGAGGCCGCCCGCCAAGACAGGGGCCAUUCCGAGUCCCGCGGACGAACUUCGCCCACGCCGCCCACCAAGGCUAUAGCCCACCCGUUUUUUGGCCAUUUUUCCGCUUGGGGGUCUUGGGACCCCGACCUUCGGGGGCUGAUUUUUGAGCGCGGCUGUGCCCGUGGCCUAUUUUUGGUACACGGAGGCCGCCCGCCAAGUCUGGUGCCAUUCCGAGUCCCGCGGACGAACUUCGCCCACGCCGCCCACCAAGGCUAUAGCCCACCCGUUUUUUGACCAUUUUUCCGCUGGGGGGUCUUGGGACCCCGACCUUCGGGGGCUGAUUUUUGGGCGCGGCUGUGCCCGUGGCCUAUUUUUGGCACACAGAGGCCGCCCGCCAAGUAUGGUGCCAUUCCGAGUCCCGCGGACGAACUUCGCCCACGCCCCCCACCAAGGCUAUAGCCCACCCGUUUUUUGGCCAUUUUUCCGCUGGGGGGUCUUGGGACCCCGACCUUCGGGGGCUGAUUUUUGGGCGCGGCUGUGCCCGUGGCCUAUUUUUGGCACACAGAGGCCGCCCGCCAAGUAUGGUGCCAUUCCGAGUCCCGCGGACGAACUUCGCCCACGCCGCCCACCAAGGCUAUAGCCCACCCGUUUUUUGGCCAUUUUUCCGCUGGGGGGUCUUGGGACCCCGACCUUCGGGGGCUGAUUUUUGGGCGCGGCUGUGCCCGUGGCCUAUUUUUGGCACACGGAGGCCGCCCGCCAAGUCAGGGGCCAUUCCGAGUCCCGCGGACGAAGUUCGCCCACGCCCCACACCAAGGCCAUAGCCCACCCGUUUUUUGGCCAUUUUUCCGCUGGGGGGUCUUGGGACCCCGACCUUCGGGGGCUGAUUUUUGGGCGCGGCUGUACCCGUGGCCCAGUUUUGGCACACGGAGGCCGCCCGCCAAGUCAGGGGCCAUUCCGAGUCCCGCGGAUGAAGUUCGCCCACGCCCCCCACCAAGGCUAUAGCCCACCCGUUUUUUGGCCAUUUUUCCACUGGGGGGUCUUGGGACCCCGACCUUCGGGGGCUGAUUUUUGUACGCGGCUGUGCCCGUGGCCUAUUUUUGGCACACAGAGGCCGCCCGCCAAGUAUGGUGCCAUUCCGAGUCCCGCGGACGAACUUCGCCCACGCCCCCCACCAAGGAUAUAGCCCACCCGUUUUUUGGCCAUUUUUCCGCUGGGGGGUCUUGGGACCCCGACCUUCAGGGGCUGAUUUUUGGGCGCGGCUGUGCCCGUGGCCUAUUUUUGGCACACGGAGGCCGCCCGCCAAGUCAGGGGCCAUUCCGAGUCCCGCGGACGAAGUUCGCCCACGCCCCCCACCAAGGCUAUAGCCAACCCGUUUUUUGGCCAUUUUUCCGCUGGGGGGUCUUGGGACCCCGACCUUCGGGGGCUGAUUUUUGGGCGCGGCUGUGCCCGUGGCCUAUUUUUGGCACACAGAGGCCGCCCGCCAAGUAUGGUGCCAUUCCGAGUCCCGCGGACGAACUUCGCCCACGCCGCCCACCAAGGCUAUAGCCCACCCGUUUUUUGGCCAUUUUUCCGCUGGGGGGUCAUGGGACCCCGACCUUCGGGGGCUGAUUUUUGGGCGCGGCUGUGCCCGUGGCCUAUUUUUGGCACACAGAGGCCGCCCGCCAAGUAUGGUGCCAUUCCGAGUCCCGCGGACGAACUUCGCCCACGCCCCCCACCAAGGCUAUAGCCCACCCGUUUUUUGGCCAUUUUUCCGCUGGGGGGUCUUGGGACCCCGACCUUCGGGGGCUGAUAUUUGGGCGCGGCUGUGCCCGUGGCCCAGUUUUGGCACACGGAGGCCGCCCGCCAAGUCGGGGGCCAUUCCGAGUCCCGCGGAUGAAGUUCGCCCACGCCCCCCACCAAGGCUAUAGCCCACCCGUUUUUUGGCCAUUUUUCCGCUGGGUGGUCUUGGGACCCCGACCUUCGGGGGCUGAUUUUUGGGCGCGGCUGUGCCCGUGGCCUAUUUUUGGCACACAGAGGCCGCCCGCCAAGUAUGGUGCCAUUCCGAGUCCCGCGGACGAACUUCGCCCACGCCGCCCACCAAUUCUAUAGCCCACCCGUUUUUUGGCCAUUUUUCCGCUGGGGGGUCUUGGGACCCCGACCUUCGGGGGCUGAUUUUUGGGCGCGGCUGUGCCCGUGGCCUAUUUUUGGCACACGGAGGCCGCCCGCCAAGUCAGGGGCCAUUCCGAGUCCCGCGGACGAAGUUCGCCCACGCCGUCCACCAAGGCUAUAGCCCACCCGUUUUUUGGCCAUUUUUCCACUGGGGGGUCUUGGGACACCGACUUUCGGGUGCUGAUUUUUGGGCGCGGCUGUGCCCGUGGCCUAUUUUUGGCACACAGAGGCCGCCCACCAAGUAUGGUGCCAUUCCGAGUCCCGCGGACGAACUUCGCCCACGCCCCCCACCAAGGCUAUAGCCCACCCGUUUUUUGGCCAUUUUUCCGCUGGGGGGUCUUGGGACCCCGACCUUCGGGGGCUGAUUUUUGGGCGCGGCUGUGCCCGUGGCCUAUUUUUGGCACACGGAGGCCGCCCGCCAAGUCAGGGGCCAUUCCGAGUCCCGCGGACGAACUUCGCCCACGCCGCCCACCAAGGCUAUAGCCCACCCGUUUUUUGGCCAUUUUUCCGCUGGGGGGUCUUGGGACCCCGACCUUCGGGGGCUGAUUUUUGGGCGCGGCUGUGCCCGUGGCCUAUUUUUGGCACACAGAGGCCGCCCGCCAAGUACGGUGCCAUUCCGAGUCCCGCGGACGAACUUCGCCCACGCCGCCCACCAAGGCUGUAGCCCACCCGUUUUUUGGCCAUUUUUCCGCUGGGGGGUCUUGGGACCCCGACCUUCGGGGGCUGAUUUUUGGGCGCGGCUGUGCCCGUGGCCUAUUUUUGGCACACGGAGGCCGCCCGCCAAGUCAGGGGCCAUUCCGACUCCCGCGGACGAAGUUCGCCCACGCCCCCCACCAAGGCUAUAGCCCACCCGUUUUUGGCCAUUUUUCCGCUGGGGGGUCUUGGGACCCCGACCUUCGGGGGCUGAUUUUUGGGCGCGGCUGUGCCCGUGGCCUAUUUUUAGCACACAGAGGCCGCCCGCCAAGUAUGGUGCCAUUCCGAGUCCCGCGGACGAACUUCGCCCACGCCCCCCACCAAGGCUAUAGCCCACCCGUUUUUUGGCCAUUUCUCCGCUGGUGGGUCUUGGGACCCCGACCUUCGGGGGCUGAUUUUUGGGCGCGGCUGUGCCCGUGGCCUAUUUUUGGCACACGGAGGCCGCCCGCCAAGUCAGGGGCC